AUCCAGCUAACGAGUUUCAAACAGAACGAAACACGUGUCUUGUAU
rfam:Schistosoma mattheei strain Denwood, Zambia genome assembly, scaffold: SMTD_scaffold0002396